rnacentral:rRNA from 1 species
UGCAAGUCGAACGGAAAGGCCCAGCUUGCUGGGUACUCGAGUGGCGAACGGGUGAGUAACACGUGGGUGAUCUGCCCUGCACUCUGGGAUAAGCCUGGGAAACUGGGUCUAAUACCGGAUAUGACCAUGGGAUGCAUGUUCUGUGGUGGAAAGCUUUUGCGGUGUGGGAUGGGCCCGCGGCCUAUCAGCUUGUUGGUGGGGUAAUGGCCUACCAAGGCGACGACGGGUAGCCGACCUGAGAGGGUGAUCGGCCACACUGGGACUGAGACACGGCCCAGACUCCUACGGGAGGCAGCAGUGGGGAAUAUUGCACAAUGGGCGCAAGCCUGAUGCAGCGACGCCGCGUGAGGGAUGACGGCCUUCGGGUUGUAAACCUCUUUCACCAGGGACGAAGCGUGAGUGACGGUACCUGGAGAAGAAGCACCGGCCAACUACGUGCCAGCAGCCGCGGUAAUACGUAGGGUGCGAGCGUUGUCCGGAAUUACUGGGCGUAAAGAGCUCGUAGGCGGUUUGUCGCGUCGUCUGUGAAAUUCUGCAACUCAAUUGUAGGCGUGCAGGCGAUACGGGCAGACUUGAGUACUACAGGGGAGACUGGAAUUCCUGGUGUAGCGGUGAAAUGCGCAGAUAUCAGGAGGAACACCGGUGGCGAAGGCGGGUCUCUGGGUAGUAACUGACGCUGAGGAGCGAAAGCGUGGGUAGCGAACAGGAUUAGAUACCCUGGUAGUCCACGCCGUAAACGGUGGGUACUAGGUGUGGGUUCCUUUUCACGGGAUCCGUGCCGUAGCUAACGCAUUAAGUACCCCGCCUGGGGAGUACGGCCGCAAGGCUAAAACUCAAAGGAAUUGAC